CUACUGUUGAAGAGUCCCAAAAGAGGACGAAACGGAGGGCUGUCCAGUAC
rnacentral:hammerhead_ribozyme from 1 species